rnacentral:lncRNA from 1 species
CGCUCAACUUCAGCAGCAACCACGUGGCGCGCUACCUCAUGGGCACCAAGAGGUCCUACCCCAACGCCGUCGCCGCCUACGUCGACGUCCGCGACGUCGCGCGCGCGCACGUCCUCGCCUUCGAGCGCCCCGAAGCCCGCGGCCGAUACCUCUGCAUUGGCACCGUGCUCCACCGCGCCCAGCUCAUCGCCAUGCUCAGGGAGCUCUUCCCGCAGUACCCCGUCACCGCCAAGUGAGUUUUUACACGCCAUGGUCGACCUCUCUCUUUUCGUCGGCGAGCAUCGUUGCGUUGCUGACUCGUGAAAAUCUCGUGCGUGUCUUGGUCUGCAUAGGUGUGAAGAUGACGGCAAGCCAAUGGCGAAGCCGUACAGGUUCUCCAACCAGAGGGUCAAGGACCUGGGCAUGGAGUUCACUCCGCUGAAGAAAAGUUUGUAUGAAGCGGUGGUGAGCAUGCAGAAGAAGGGGCACCUGCCUGUGAUCAGAGAGCAGCAGCGUGCGUACUUGUAAAAUCCUGGGACGUUGGGAUUUCCCAGAUGAAAUAAACAGGGAAAACGAAGCAAAAGUGAAGGGACAGAGAUGAUACAAGCAUAUAAGGAGAUUUGAAAUUUAACACAGUUAUUCAGGUGUAUUACUUUCUUGGUAACAAAAUUCUACCAGUGUGUAUAAGCAUUCUUAAUUGUUUGAUAUCAUGUAAACCUUUAAGUCAGGAUGUCUCUUCCCGUUACUUACUCAAAAUUUAAUUCUGCCUAUAUGAAGACUGCCGGAUGAGUAAAUCUAUAAAAAACCCUUAAAAAAAGUUUUUUGCAAGUUUUUUUUCAGUUGCACACACAAAACAAAAUACAUUAAAAUCCCAAAUAAAACGAUGCAAACAAAAUAAUUUUAGUGGACUCCCAACAAAUAACUAAAGUUAUCGUGUACUAUAUGUAUACAGUGUUUUCAUUUUUAUUGAUGUCAUGCUUAAACAAACCAAAUUACACGCCAAAUAUCACAAAACACCACUAGAAAAAUCGGGGUAGCGGAAAAUAAUUUACAUUGCAACAUGGUAUCAUAAGUCGCAACACCUAAGUGCAGGAAACAUUGAAGAAGACAUGUCUUUAUAUAGCAAACACCACUAUAUUUUUUUAUAGAUUUUGCAUUUAUCAAACUCUUGGAAAUUUAUCGUAUCUCAAACUUCUAAAGGUACACACACUAAAAUUUUUUAAGGUUCCAUGCGUAUCACGACUAAGAAACAAAUUCAAGGCAAAAGAAGAAGUUCACUAGAUUUAUCUCCCUCAACCACAACAAUUUCGACUAUUGAGAUCAUUUGUUUUUUUCCUUACUAAGCAGCUUUCAGCCGGUCAGCCCGAACCAUCAACCGCGCAUCCCAUGUUUCAGUCUACAGUAUCAUCUUCUCUUCUUUUAUUAGGGGUAGCAAAAAAAAAGAAAAUUUUCUCGCCCCUGGCUGUAAGGGUGGGCAAUUGGUUAUUACGGUAUGUUUUCAGUUUUAAAGCUAGAAACAAAAUAAAAAUUAAGGGAAAACGAUUUCGAAGUUUAACAACCACUUUUUUCUCCGUUUAUGGAUCUUUUGGUUUUAAAUCAAUAAGACUACGCACACCUUUUAAAUUCAAUCUAUUAAAGAAAAUUUAGAUGACACAGAAGAUGAUGCUACGGACAUGAUAUUGCUAUGUGUUCCGACAACAACAUUUAUAUUAAUUCAGGGGAAUAAGACACUACGCACACUUAGCCGUACAUUAGAUAUUAUGCAGAGACUACACUAGAUAUGCAGCACAUGAGAAUGAAACAUAAAACGCAUGAGAAUGAAACAUAAAGUAUGGUCCUGAGAGGAUCAAGUACACGGCACAGUACCUUGAGGAUCAAUAUAAUAAUUUAGACCUUAGCAGCCUAAGACAAAGUUAAUGGUCCAACUUCCUUUGAUUCUACGUUUCGGUAUUCAUAUGUGUCCAUAAAUAAGAGUGAUUUUUGUUGAAACAUCCAAACUCUGAUUCAAACAAUAUGAGUGAUGCAUUUUGCCCCCAUCGCCAAGCUCCACGACCAAGUUCUGUAAUUGGAUCGUUUGGUCAGCUCCGGCCAAGUCAUGGCGCUUUCGGAAUACUGAAUAUACUACCGUUUUACCAGUUCUAACGGCAGUGAUCGAACCCCGGAUGUGGACCGACGAUUUCUGAAGGUUUUGGACUCCGCGACGUGCCAAAGUUGCCAUCGUGAUCCCGUCCCGUCUCGAGAGAACGGAAAAUCAGUGAGCUCUCGUGCGGCUAUUACGCCGGCCGAUUUGCCGAAACCCAUCGGCGGCGCCCCGGCCCCGCCGCUGAAUGAAUCCGGUGGCGGCGGCGCCAUGCUACGUCUCGCGGCUGCACACAGCUCUUGCGAUCCCCUUCCUAGCUGUAUAAAUACGGGCCGGGGCGCCAUCCAUACAGGCCAAGAUUAAGAAUAAUCCUUGGUUAGAUUUAUACUGUCCUAAUUUAGCCAGUAGCUAAUUUGCAAUUGAGUGGUUGUACAGCCAGCUUGAUUAUGCCUUAUAAUCAUCUGCUUAAGUAAUGCAAUAGACUCUGUAAAAGCUGCCAAGUUGACAGCGCAAAUUAAGUCCUUUGUGUUCGUGUGUUCUUAGCCGUGAGCAGGGACGUUGUUUCUCCAGCGUGUUUCUGACAUAUACGAGCUCGAUCCAAGACUCGAAGCAACAGAGUGACAGAUCAGAUACUGAUCCAAUUCCAUACACAUUUCACUAGCAAGCUAGCAUCGAUCGCAAGAGAGAGCCAUGUCGUCGUCCUAUUCCAAGUCCAGCAAUGGUGGCGAGCAGCAGCAGGAGCAGCUGGUCUGCGUGACCGGAGCAGGCGGCUUCAUCGGUUCGUGGCUGGUCAAGGAGCUCCUCAUGCGCGGCUACCGUGUCAGGGGAACUGCAAGGGACCCUGGUGAGCUAGUGAAGUCUCUUUCUUUCAUCCCACCAUCACAAAUUCAGAACAACGCUGCAAUGAUAACAACGUGCUCGUUUUGUUUUGUCCCUGAACGAAACAGAGGAUAGCAAGAACGCGCACUUGCUUGCUCUGGAGGGUGCCAGGGAGAGGCUCACCCUGUGCCGCGCCGAUGUACUCGACUACGACUCCCUCCGCGCCGCCUUCACCGGCUGCCAUGGCGUCCUCCACGUCGCCUCCCCGGUGUCCAACGACCCGGUUAGUUUUUAUGCACAAAUAACCCUCUGCAUACUCCUAGCUACACAGAACAUCGUUCACGCCCUUGCAUGCUUACGUGUGAUGGCUUGCACGAGCUGGUGCCGGUGGCCGUGGAGGGCACACGGAACGUGAUCAACGCCGCGGCGGACGAGGGCGUGCGCCGGGCGGUGUUCACCUCGACGUACGGCGCGGUGCACAUGGAUCCCAACCGGAGCCCCGACGCCGUCCUCGACGAGACCUGCUGGAGCGACUUCGACUUCUGCAAGCAGACAGGCGUAAGCUGCCAUUGCCAGCCUCUCUUCUUCUCUGAUUUGUCUCAUCCAUUAUCGCAGUGCCUGAAUUACAUCGAAACCGUGCGCGCAGAACCUGUACUGCUGCGCCAAGAUGAUGGCGGAGAUCACGGCGACGGAGGAGGCGGCGCGGCGCGGCCUGCAGCUGGCGGUGGUGGUGCCGUGCAUCACCACGGGCCCGAUGCUGCAGCAGUCGCUCAACUUCACCAGCAACCACGUCGUCCACUACCUGAUGGGCGCCAAGAGGUCCUACCCCAACGCCGUUGCCGCCUACGUCGACGUCCGCGACGUCGCGCGCGCGCACGUCCUCAACUACGAGCGCCCCGAAGCCCGCGGGCGAUACCUCUGCAUCGGCACCGUGCUCCACCGCGCCCAGUUCAUCGCCAUGCUCAUGGAGCUCUUCCCGCAGUACCCCGUCACGGCCAAGUGAGUUUACGCCAUGG